CCCCUUUCAUCGGGACGGCGGCACGCUUAUAUUCCUUGAGCCGGCGCAAGCCGGAUAUGGCGAUAAAUGGUUGUCGUAAUAAGCCUUUCGGACCCGGGGGCGGUACCCGGCGCCUCCACCUGAGUCCAUCGCGCGUGUUGUUUCCGGACGGCGCGGGUUGGGCUUCGGCGGGGGCGAAAUAGGAUCGACGAGGGUGUAAAGGGCAUUCUUUCGCUCGGCAUUGUUCCGCCGUUAUCGGGCUAAACUUAUAGUUGCCAACGACAACUAUGCUCCGGUUGCUCAGGCCGCGUGAGCGGUUUGACGAUCGAAAUCAAAGUCCUACCGGGUAGCACUGGAUAGGCGGGGUUCGGAGGCACCUGGCAACAGAAGCCUCCACU
rnacentral:tmRNA from 1 species